AAACACGGACCAAGGAGUCUAACAUGUGCGCGAGUCACUGGGUCGAAGACGAAACCCAAAGGCGCAAUGAAAGUGAAGGUUCCCGCCUCGUGCGGACCGAGGGAAGAUGGGGUCCUCCUUCGUGGGGGUCCCCCGCAUUCCCGGGGCGUCUCGUUCUCACUGCGAGUUGAGGCGCACCCAGAGCGUACACGUUGGGACCCGAAAGAUGGUGAACUAUGCCUGGCCAGGACGAAGUCAGGGGAAACCCUGAUGGAGGUCCGUAGCGAUUCUGACGUGCAAAUCGAUCGUCGGAGCUGGGUAUAGGGC
rnacentral:rRNA from 1 species